rnacentral:rRNA from 1 species
GAUGAACGCUGGCGGCGUGCCUAAUACAUGCAAGUAGAACGCUGAAGGAGGAGCUUGCUCUUCUGGAAGAGUUGCGAACGGGUGAGUAACGCGUAGGUAACCUGCCUCUUAGCGGGGGAUAACUAUUGGAAACGAUAGCUAAUACCGCAUAAAAGUCGACAUUGCAUGAUGUUGACUUGAAAGGUGCAACUGCAUCACUAAGAGAUGGACCUGCGUUGUAUUAGCUAGUUGGUGAGGUAACGGCUCACCAAGGCGACGAUACAUAGCCGACCUGAGAGGGUGAUCGGCCACACUGGGACUGAGACACGGCCCAGACUCCUACGGGAGGCAGCAGUAGGGAAUCUUCGGCAAUGGGGGCAACCCUGACCGAGCAACGCCGCGUGAGUGAAGAAGGUUUUCGGACCGUAAAGCUCUGUUGUAAGAGAAGAACGAGUGUGAGAGUGGAAAGUUCACGCUGUGACGGUAUCUUACCAGAAAGGGACGGCUAACUACGUGCCAGCAGCCGCGGUAAUACGUAGGUCCCGAGCGUUAUCCGGAUUUAUUGGGCGUAAAGCGAGCGCAGGCGGUUAGAUAAGUCUGAAGUUAAAGGCUGUGGCUUAACCAUAGUACGCUUUGGAAACUGUUUAACUUGAGUGCAGAAGGGGAGAGUGGAAUUCCAUGUGUAGCGGUGAAAUGCGUAGAUAUAUGGAGGAACACCGGUGGCGAAAGCGGCUCUCUGGUCCGUAACUGACGCUGAGGCUCGAAAGCGUGGGGAGCAAACAGG